ACUUAAAUUGAAGAGUUUGAUCAUGGCUCAGAUUGAACGCUGGCGGCAGGCCUAACACAUGCAAGUCGAGCGGUAGCACAGAGAGCUUGCUCUCGGGUGACGAGCGGCGGACGGGUGAGUAAUGUCUGGGAAACUGCCUGAUGGAGGGGGGUAACUACUGGAAACGGUAGCUAAUACC
rnacentral:rRNA from 1 species